GACGGAGGAUGCAAGCGUUAUCCGGAAUUAUUGGGCGUAAAGCGCACGUAGGCGGAUUAGAAAGUCAGAGGUGAAAUCCCAGGGCUCAACCUUGGAACUGCCUUUGAAACUCCUAGUCUUGAGGUCGAGAGAGGUGAGUGGAAUUCCGAGUGUAGAGGUGAAAUUCGUAGAUAUUCGGAGGAACACCAGUGGCGAAGGCGGCUCACUGGCUCGAUACUGGCGCUGAGAUGCGAAAGCGUGGGGAGCAAACAGG
rnacentral:rRNA from 1 species